AACGAACGCUGGCGGCAUGCCUAACACAUGCAAGUCGAACGAGAACUUCGGGCCUUGUUGCGCACCGGUACGUACCGCGUGGUAACCUACCCUUGGGUUCGCUAUCCCUCCCCGAAGGGUGAGCUCAUACCGGAUAGUGUCUUCGCACCAAAGAUUUAUCGCCAUUUGGUGGGCGUGCGUAGGUUUAGCUAGUUGGUAGGGUAAUAGCGUGCCAUGGACACGAUCCAUGGCUGGUCUGUUAGGAUGAUCAGCCACACUGGGACUGAGACACGGCCUAGACUGCGACGCAGCGCAGCAGUGGGGAACAUUGUGGAAGGAGCCAAAGCCUAAUCCAGCAAUGCCGCGGAAGUGAUCAAUGCCUUAGGGUUGUAAAUCUCUUUUUGCCGAGAUGAGAAUGACAGUACCGGGUGAAGAAGCACCGGCUAACUCCGUG
rnacentral:rRNA from 1 species